CUGAAAAUUAGAAAGAAAUGUUUUUUACCAAUCUGGAAUAACCUAUGUCUGUAACCAUGGACGUAAAGCUACUAUUUAACUGCAUUGUAUGUUUCAAUAGACCUCGUAACAUUCUUAUGUAGACAACUGGGAACGGACUAAGUUUAUCCUUUGUAACAUAAAGGAUCACCUGCACUUUUGAUAUGAAGCAGUCAUUCAUUCCUGACUCUACAUAUGUGUAGUGUAGUAUAAUGAUGAACCAAUCUGAGUUAGUAUCACUUUGGUCGUAUUUUCUUCUUAUUAAACUCUCUACCAUUUCUAUUACUACUGGAGUUACUUUGUGACAACCAUAAAAUAGAUAGGAGGAAGUACCAACUAGAGAUGGAUUCGGUCAAGGCCCGAGUCCGAAAGCCCAGUCCGAACCUCAUUUUGCCAAGCCAGAAAGCCCGUGUUCCGAACCUUCCAGCCCAACAUAUAUAUUCCUAAUAAAUGACGAAAAAUUAUAAAGAAAUAAAACGGUGAAGCGGUAUUUUCAAUUUUAAAUUACAAUUCAUUGGAUAUGGAGGACUCUUAUUCUCUCCUAGACGAAAACUAUCAAGAAUUUUCAUCCAAUA
rnacentral:lncRNA from 1 species